rnacentral:rRNA from 1 species
GACGAACGCUGGCGGCGUGCUUAACACAUGCAAGUCGAACGCUGAAGCUCAGCUUUUGUUGGGUGGAUGAGUGGCGAACGGGUGAGUAACACGUGAGUAACCUGCCCCCUUCUUUGGGAUAACGCCCGGAAACGGGUGCUAAUACUGGAUAUUCACUGGUCUUCGCAUGGGGGUUGGUGGAAAGGGUUUUUCUGGUGGGGGAUGGGCUCGCGGCCUAUCAGCUUGUUGGUGGGGUGAUGGCCUACCAAGGCUUUGACGGGUAGCCGGCCUGAGAGGGUGACCGGUCACAUUGGGACUGAGAUACGGCCCAGACGCCUACGGGAGGCAGCAGUGGGGAAUAUUGCACAAUGGGCGCAAGCCUGAUGCAGCGACGCCGCGUGAGGGAUGGAGGCCUUCGGGUUGUGAACCUCUUUCGCUCAUGGUCAAGCCGCAACAAUGGUUGUGGUGAGGGUAGUGGGUAAAGAAGCGCCGGCUAACUACGU